rnacentral:rRNA from 1 species
AAAUUGAAGAGUUUGAUCAUGGCUCAGAUUGAACGCUGGCGGCAGGCCUAACACAUGCAAGUCGAACGGUAACAGGAAGCAGCUUGCUGCUUUGCUGACGAGUGGCGGACGGGUGAGUAAUGUCUGGGAAACUGCCUGAUGGAGGGGGAUAACUACUGGAAACGGUGGCUAAUACCGCAUCACGUCGCAAGACCAACGAGGGGGACCUUCGCGCCUCUUGCCAUCAGAUGUGCCCAGAUGGGAGUAGCUUGUUGGUGAGGUAACGGCUCACCCAGGCGACGAUCCCUAGCUGCACUGAGAGGAUGACCAGCCACACUGGAACUGAGACACGGUACAGACACCUACGGG